rnacentral:lncRNA from 1 species
CAAAAGACUCAUCAGUGACGCUCGAAUCCAAAAAAGUUAAAAAGGCCAAAAAAAGUACGAAGUUGAAGAGCAUUGAGGACCAAAAUUCCUAAAAGUUGUGCCAAAUACAGCUAAGGUAAUCUAUGCCUGAGGUAGAAAAGCCUUAGUAUUUCAUAAAAUUCAAAAAUUUGUAAACAAUAAAUUUAUAAAUAUAACCAUAUCAAUGACAAUUCAUGUCAGCACAAAAAGUGCUGACUACUGGGCUUGUGAUACCCUCGGGG